CCUAGUGCCUGCUGAAAGAACGCAGCUCUGCUGACACCUUGGUUUUGACCUGGUGAGACCCAUUUUGGACUUUUCACGUCUAAAACCGUUUAAAGGAGAAAGUCUACAGUUCCAGUUAGCCUACUUUUGUAACAGGACCUGACGGCUCGACUCUUUGAAUCCUGAAAGACUAUAGGAAAAGCUAGCCCAAGUGACUGAGCUGGGGGUCCCAGUCAUCGGUAGCAUGGAAAAGCGUGCUCUAGACAGCGAGUGGAGAAUAUUCAAGUAUGUCUUUGUCCCUGACAGUAUGCUCUCAUCUCUUUUGUAAGAGUAUACAAUUUAAAUUUCUAAAAAUUCAUUACAAUAAAAAGCAAAACAAUCCCUCAUAGGUUUAUAAUUAAACUAAUGCACCAUUUACAAAGGGUUUGAAAUAAAUGCAAAUACCUAGGUACAA